rnacentral:rRNA from 1 species
GACAGAGGGUGCAAACGUUGUUCGGAAUUACUGGGCGUAAAGCGCACGUAGGCGGAUAUUUAAGUCAGGGGUGAAAUCCCGGGGGCUCAACCCCGGAACUGCCUUUGAUACUGGGUAUCUCGAGUCCGAGAGAGGUGAGUGGAAUUCCGAGUGUAGAGGUGAAAUUCGUAGAUAUUCGGAGGAACACCAGUGGCGAAGGCGGCUCACUGGCUCGGUACUGACGCUGAGGUGCGAAAGCGUGGGGAGCAAACAGG